CAGGGAGAACCAACCUCAAAUGAUGAUCACCACUUUUUAGUGAUCCAUUUGACUGUUCAUUCCUAUGGUCGAUCGGUACCUCAGUGAGUGUUAAUCACUCAUUCGGUUCUUAAGCUUGUCUAGGUCACCACCCCUUAGCGAUUAAGCUUUGUGGGAUGGGCCCGAGAGGGUUCCUGGGCCAUUAGCUCAGGUGGUUAGAGCGCACCCCUGAUAAGGGUGAGGUCCCUGGUUCAAGUCCAGGAUGGCCCAUCGGGAUUGGGGGUUUAGCUCAGCUGGUAGAGCGCCUGCUUUGCAAGCAGGAUGUCAGCGGUUCGAGUCCGCUAACCUCCACUGAUCGAACUCAAUCUCCAUCGUCGCAAUGAUGGAAGGUGAACUCGAGGUGAUGUGAUUUAGAUGUGUCCGCUGGCAUGACCCCAGCUUCCUGUCAUUCCAAAAUCAAGUGAGAAAUCACGAGAUGUUUGGUUGAUAAGAUGCUGGGCUCAAACUGAGAAAUCAGUUUGAUGUCUAGCAGAACCUUGACAACUGCAUAGGAAAAGUCUGUAAGAAUAAAGCAUCUCUCAUGGAUGCAUCAUUCUUUUUUAGGAUGAUGUCAAUUCUUGAGCAAGAGCCGAGACUCCAUAACGUUCUUCUAAUUGUGUCGAGCAAUUGGGAGUUUGAUGAUUGAUUCAGCAAUGAAUCGUUCAGAAUCUGUUUCACGACAGCAAGCGUUUUGGAGAUUAAUG
rnacentral:tRNA from 1 species